rnacentral:rRNA from 1 species
GACGUAGGGCGCGAGCGUUGUCCGGAUUUAUUGGGCGUAAAGAGCUCGUAGGCGGCUUGUCGCGUCUGCUGUGAAAUCCCGAGGCUCAACCUCGGGCUUGCAGUGGGUACGGGCAGACUAGAGUGCGGUAGGGGAGACUGGAAUUCCUGGUGUAGCGGUGGAAUGCGCAGAUAUCAGGAGGAACACCGAUGGCGAAGGCAGGUCUCUGGGCCGCAACUGACGCUGGAGGAGCGAAAGCAUGGGGAGCGAACAGG